rnacentral:misc_RNA from 1 species
GUAGGACCGCAAAUAUGUACAUGAAUUUUCUUCAGUCAUCGAUUCGUAUAUUGUCGUGAACAGUGCCAUUCUUCGUAAGAAUCCAUAAAUAUUGUAUUCUUAAUACCUCGUAUCCUCCCUUCCAUUGCACGUUGUGCCCUGGAAGGGCCAUCGAGGCCCAGUGUUAUGUACGAGUAUCCAGGAAGUGGAACCAUUCAACCUUGAGGAAUAUACGAAAGGGUUCGGCUUGUAUCACGGAAACCAUUAGAUUGGCAGUCGCAUGACCGUUUGAAAACUCCAAGGUUUAUGACUCAGUUAUUAAGCGCCGGAAAAGUAGUGUGAACAAGUUAAAAGG